AAUUGCAGCAGUUUCUGGUGGAAUCUCCUGUCUCUACUACUACUCCUCUCCAAACUUGGCUUAUCUUGACCAAGUCGAAGAAGAGCCUGCUCGAAAAGUUGCUCUUAAACCAGAUAAAUGGAUUGAAUUUAAGUUGCAAGACACUGCAAGAGUUAGCCAUAAUACUCAAUUAUUCAGGUUCUCAUUUGAUCCCUCUGCCAAGUUGGGCUUAGACAUUGCCUCAUGCAUCCUUACUAGGGCUUCAUUAGGACAAGAUGCUGAAGGAAAAACA
rnacentral:misc_RNA from 1 species